UGGGGAAUUUUGGACAAUGGGCGCAAGCCUGAUCCAGCCAUGCCGCGUGGGUGAAGAAGGCCUUCGGGUUGUAAAGCCCUUUCGGCCGGGAAGAAAACGUGCGGGCGAACAGUCUGCAUGGAUGACGGUACCGGAAGAAGAAGCACCGGCUAACUACGUGCCAGCAGCCGCGGUAAUACGUAGGGUGCGAGCGUUAAUCGGAAUUAUUGGGCGUAAAGCGUGCGCAGGCGGCGCCAUAAGACAGCUGUGAAAUCCCCGGGCUUAACCUGGGAACUGCGGUUGUGACUGUGGUGCUAGAGUACGGCAGAGGGAGGUGGAAUUCCUGGUGUAGCAGUGAAAUGCGUAGAGAUCAGGAGGAACACCGAUGGCGAAGGCAGCCGCCUGGGCUGAUACUGACGCUCAUGCACGAAAGCGUGGGGAGCAAACA
rnacentral:rRNA from 1 species